AAAAAACAGCGGCCUGAGGCCUUCCAAAGGACAAAUCAUUAGCGAGCUCCCUCCCUUCUCUGAGCUGACCUCCUCUCCCCUCCCCUCCUCAACCGAGACUGGUUUGUUUCUCUUUCUAGCUUUCUCACCCGUUCUAGCAAGGCAUCAGUGUCUCCUUGGGAUUAGGUGAUGCUGAUAAGCCCCGUCUUGGUUCAGGACAGCGCCCUUGAGGGCUCAGCCCUGGAGGAACAGCCCUGGGCCCCACUGUGGGGAGCCUGAGGAGUGCAUCCUCUCUCCAUUCUGCCGAGCAUCCUCCUAGCUUCGGGCUGUUGGGGGAGAACCCCGGGGCUAACUGCAUUUUUGUUCCUGGAUGCCUGGGACUCUACUGAGCCUGCCAAUAAACUCUGCUACAGACAGAGGCCCAGGUUCUUGUGGGGAAGGCACUUAGAAGGCUUUAAAAUGCUCUAGAAGGGGGCAGCUAAGUGGCUCAGUGGAUUGAGAACCAGACCUGGAGAUGGGAGUCUUGGGUUCAAAUCUGACCUCAGAUACUUCCUAGCUCUGUGAUCCUGAGCUCACCAACACCCCAGUUACCUCCCACCCAAGCUAGGACCAGGAGAAGAUGUGGGAAGAGAAACAGCUGAUGUCUCCUGAGUUUUUAAACUUCCAGGCUACAGGAUGCAACUGGUACCUGGGCAUAGACACUUUAGGCAGAAGCUGGGUUGGAAUGUCAGAGAGGAGAUUCCUGAGUUGGACAAAAGGUUGACCAGUUCUUUUAUUCUGUGAGUUCCCUUUGAUGAGAUGGCCAAGAUUCAUAGAUCCAUAGAACUGGAAGAGACAUCAGAGAAGGAGGUGUUCUUUCUCUUUCCCUUUCCCUUGGAGCAUCCCUGAAAAGGGGGCUCACUCCAAAGGUUUAUGCUAAUCCAGGCAGCUGCCAAUGCCUUAGAAAACAGGGGUGCUCCUUUUAUUUGGACUGUUUCCUGUGGCAGAGGGAGUGGGGAGAUUUCACCAGAAAAGCAAAAGCUUGAUUUCUGCUAGAACAUUAGCUCUGAAAGCUUACUGGCUAGGACUUUUAGAUUUGGCAUCCUGCAUUUCUGGAUUCUUUUUUGGAUGCUCUCCUUUUCGUAUAAACACUUGGAAGGACUGGAAGUACAUUUCCUCCCAGAGAUAAGACACAAAGAACUUCCUUCAGUGUCUGAGUCAUCCCCUCCUUGCUUACUGAUGCUCUCAGUCCCCUCAAGUCCUAUAUUUGUCCACAUGUAAGACAAGUGCAGUGUGUCUGUAUAAUUCCUGUAACCUCCUGAGCCUCAGCUUUCUCCUGUGGGGGAAGAGAGAGGAAUGGACUAGAGUCAUAGAUCCAGAGGAGGGACUUCAGAGGUCACCUAGUUUGACCAGUACACCUGUUUUAUAAAUGAAGAAACUAAGAUCUGGGGAAGUUAAGUGAUUUGCCCAAGGUAGCAAGCAUCAGAGGCAGGAUUAGAACCCAGGUCCUCUGAAUACAGAAAUGCUGCUCAUUCUAGUGUGUCAUGCUGAUUCACAAGGCUGCCUCUCAAUUUUAAAUCUAGAACCCUAAGGGAAGCUAAAGAAACUGCUAAAUGAUGUCUCUCAAGUGACCAGGGCACCUUUCUCCUUUUCAGAGAAAAAGUUAUGAAUAAAAUGUUUGUUGCUCAUGACAGCAAAGGAAAGUAAUAAGUGUCAGAGGGGAUGUGGCAAAAUUGAGACACUAAUGCAUUGCUGGUGGAGUUAUGAAUUGAUCCAACCAUUCUGGAAGGCAAUUUGGAACUAUGCCUAAAGGGUGCUAAAAGACUGUCUGCCUUUUGAUCCAGCCAUAGCACUGCUGGGUUUGUACCCCAAAGAGAUAAUAAGGAAAAAUGUUUAUACAAGAAUAUUCAUGGCUGUGCUCUUUGUGGUGGCAAAAAAAUUGGAAAACGAGGGGAUGCCCUUCAAUUGGGGAAUGGUUGAACAAAUUGUGGUAUCUGUUGGUGAUGGAAUACUAUUGUGGUCAAGGGAAUAAUGAACUGGAGGGAUUCCAUGUGAACUGGAAUGACCUCCAGGAACUGAUGCAGAGUGAAAGGAGCAGAACCAGGAGAACAUUGUACACAGAGACUGACACACUGUGGCACAAUCGAAUGUAAUGGACUUCUCUACUAGCAGCAAUGCAAUGAUUCAGGACAAUUCUGAGGCACUUAUGAGAAAGAACACUAUCCCCAUCCAGAGAAAGAACUGUGGGAGUAGAAACACAGAAGAAAAACAACUGCUUGAUCACAUGGUUUGAUGGGGAUAUCAUUGGGGAUAUAGACUCCAAAUGAUCACUCUAGUGCAAAUAUUAAUAAUAUGGAAAUAGGUAAUGGUGUAAAACCCAGUGGAAUUGUGCAUUGGC